rnacentral:rRNA from 1 species
UACGGGGGGGGGCAAGCGUUGUUCGGAAUUACUGGGCGUAAAGGGCUCGUAGGUGGCCAACUAAGUCAGACGUGAAAUCCCUCGGCUUAACCGGGGAACUGCGUCUGAUACUGGAUGGCUUGAGAUUGGGAGAGGGAUGCGGAAUUCCAGGUGUAGCGGUGAAAUGCGCAGAUAUCAGGAAGAACACCCGUGGCUAAGGCGGCUCUCUAGUACGGUACUGACGCUGAGACGCGAAAGCGUGGGGAGCGAACAGG